rnacentral:rRNA from 1 species
UUAGGAAUCUUCCACAAUGGGCGAAAGCCUGAUGGAGCGACGCCGCGUGAGGGAUGAAGGCCUUAGGGUUGUAAACCUCUAAAAGAGGGACGAUAAUGACGGUACCUCUUGAAUAGCACCGGCUAACUCCGUGCCAGCAGCCGCGGUAAUACGUAGGGAGCAAGCGUUGUUCGGAUUUACUGGGCGUAAAGGGCGCGUAGGCGGCGCGGUAAGUCACUUGUGAAAUCUCUGAGCUUAACUCAGAACGGCCAAGUGAUACUGCUGUGCUAGAGUGCGGAAGGGGCAACCGGAAUUCUUGGUGUAGCGGUGAAAUGCGUAGAUAUCAAGAGGAACACCUGAGGCGAAGGCGGGUUGCUGGGCCGACACUGACGCUGAUGCGCGAAAGCCAGGGGAGCAAACG